rnacentral:rRNA from 1 species
GACGUAGGGCGCAAGCGUUGUCCGGAUUUAUUGGGCGUAAAGAGCUCGUAGGCGGCUUGUUGCGUCGGAUGUGAAAGCCCGGGGCUUAACCCCGGGUCUGCAUUCGAUACGGGCAGGCUGGAGUUCGGUAGGGGAGAUCGGAAUUCCUGGUGUAGCGGUGAAAUGCGCAGAUAUCAGGAGGAACACCGGUGGCGAAGGCAGAUCUCUGGGCCGAUACUGACGCUGAGACGCGAAAGCGUGGGGAGCGAACAGG